rnacentral:lncRNA from 1 species
AUCUUCAUCCAUACAAAAUCCCUUCCUAAGUGAAAUAACCAGCAAAGAAACCAUAGAGAAGGAGGAAAGAAGGAGAGAAGUUUAAGUGCUUAAGUGGUAAGUGAUAGAAAUUGAAAAUUAGGUUAGGCAAACAUAUUCUUUAAUGUUUUCAAUCAAUUAUAUGUUGUUAAAUGAAUUAAAACUCAUGUUUUUCUUAUUCUUUAUAAAGAACAAAUUCAAAAGGAGGAAGGUACAUCAAAAGGAAAA